GACGAACGCGGGGGGCGUGCUUAACACAUGCAAGUCGAACGGGCCUGCCUGGCUUUGGUUGGGUGGUGAGUGGCGAACGGGUGAGUAACACGUGAGUAACCUGCCCUCUUCUCUUGGAUAACUGCUUGAAAGGGCGGCUAAUACGGGAUGUUCUGGCUGCCUCGCAUGGGGUGGUUUGGAAAGAUUCGGCCUGGUUUUGGUUGUUUUGGUGGGGGAUGGGCUCGCGGCUUAUCAGCUUGUUGGUGGGGUGAUGGCCUACCAAGGCGGUGACGGGUAGCCGGCCUGAGAGGGUGGACGGUCACACUGGGACUGAGACACGGCCCAGACUCCUGCGGGAGGCAGCAGUGGGGGAUUUUGCACAAUGGGCGCAAGCCUGAUGCAGCGACGCCGCGUGAGGGAUGGAGGCCUUCGGGUUGUGAACCUCUGUCGCCGGUGAUGUAGGCUCUGCUUUGUGGGUGGGGUUGACG
rnacentral:rRNA from 1 species